GACGAACGCUGGCGGCGUGCUUAACACAUGCAAGUCGAACGGUAAAGGAGUGGCUUUCUGCUCUGCUCGAGUGGCGAACGGGUGAGUAACACGUGAGUAACCUGCCCUUUACUUUGGGAUAACUUUAGGAAACUGGAGCUAAUACCGGAUAGGAGUUCCUGCUGCAUGGUAUGGGUUGGAAAGUUUCGGUGGUUGGGGAUGGACUCGCGGCUUAUCAGCUUGUUGGCGGGGUAGUGGCUUACCAAGGCUUUGACGGGUAGCCGGCCUGGGAGGGUGACCGGGCACAUUGGGACUGAGGUACGGCCCAGACGGCUACGGGAGGCAGCGGUGGGAAACAUUGCGCAAUGGGCGGAAGCCUGAUGCAGCGACGCCGGGUGCGGAAUGACGGCUGUCGGGUUAUAAACCGCUUUCGCCUGUAACGAAGCGUGAGUGACGGUAAUGGAUAAGGAAGCAACGGCUAACUACGUG
rnacentral:rRNA from 1 species